rnacentral:Y_RNA from 1 species
GGCUGGUCUGAAGGUAGUGAGUUAUCUCACUUGAUUUUUCACAGUCAGUUACAGAUUGAACUCCUUGUGCUACUACUUUCCCCCUUCUGCACUUGACUAGUCUAAG